rnacentral:lncRNA from 1 species
GUGCUACAAGCAAAUCACACUGAGCUAGAAGAAUGAGCCCAGUUUUUUCUUUUUCCUUAAAAAAACGUGGGACACACUUCUUCUAUCUCCUCUCUCUUUAUUUCCUUUUCUCACUUUUUUACGUGGGUCCCCCUCUCAUAAAGUUGGGUGAAUAGCUGUGGUGGAAAUUGGGGUGGUGGCGUGGCAGCAAUGCGGUGGUGCGGCGCGGCGGCGGUUGGC